AUGGAGGAGGCAGGUCUGUGAGCCUCUGCCUGUAGUCAGACAGCUAAUGGAGGAGGCAGGUCUGUGAGCCUCUGCCUGUAGUCAGACAGCUAAUGGAGGAGGCAGGUCUGUGAGCCUCUGCCUGUAGUCAGACAGCUAAUGGAGGAGGCAGGUCUGUGAGCCUCUGCCUGUAGUCAGACAGCUAAUGGAGGAGGCAGGUCUGUGAGCCUCUGCCUGUAGUCAGACAGCUAAUGGAGGAGGCAGGUCUGUGAGCCUCUGCCUGUAGUCAGACAGCUAAUGGAGGAGGCAGGUCUGUGAGCCUCUGCCUGUAGUCAGACAGCUAAUGGAGGAGGCAGGUCUGUGAGCCUCUGCCUGUAGUCAGACAGCUAAUGGAGGAGGCAGGUCUGUGAGCCUCUGCCUGUAGUCAGACAACUAAUGGAGGAGGCAGGUCUGUGAGCCUCUGCCUGUAGUCAGACAGCUAAUGGAGGAGGCAGGUCUGUGAGCCUCUGCCUGUAGUCAGACAACUAAUGGAGGAGGCAGGUCUGUGAGCCUCUGCCAGUAGUCAGACAGCUAAUGGAGGAGGCAGGUCUGUGAGCCUCUGCCUGUAGUCAGACAACUAAUGGAGGAGGCAGGUCUGUGAGCCUCUGCCUGUAGUCAGACAGCUAAUGGAGGAAGCAGGUCUGUGAGCCUCUGCCAGUAGUCAGACAGCUAAUGGAGGAGGCAGCAGGAGACAGAGGAGGGAUAUCAGUUACAGAUGCUCCAGUUAGGAGUGAACCAGUGUUUGCUGAGGUUGCAUACUUUUAAAAAGACACACUCUGGGCCUCCCGAGUGACACAGCGGUCUAAGGCACUGCAUCGCAGUGCUAGAGUUGUUACUAUAGACACAGGUUCAUUCCCGGGCUUUUCUACAACCGGCCGUGGCCGGGAGUCCCAUAGGACGGCAUACAAUUGGCCCAGCAUCGUCCGGGUUAGGGGAGGGUUUGGCCGGUGGGGCUUUACUUGGCUCAUCGCACUCUAGCGCCUCCUUGUGGCGGUCCGGGUGCCUGCAGGCUGACCCCGGUCGCCAGUUGAAUGGUGUUUCCUCCAACACAUUGGUGCAGCUGGCUUCCGGGAUUAGCUGGUAGGUGUUAAGGAGCGCGGUUAGAGGGGUCAUGUUUCGGCGGACGCAUGACUCCACCUUCGCCUCUCCCGAGGCCUUGGGGAGUUGCAGCAAAGAGACAACAUUUUAAUAUUGGGGAGGAAAAGGGGGCUAAAAUACAACAGGAAAAAAAGACACUCUCUCUCUUCAGGUGACCCCGCUCCUGCUAAUCAGGGUGGUUUACAUUCUAUUGCAUGACCAUGUCUGGUGCUUUUGAGUAUGUGUGUGUGUGUGUGUGUGUGUGUGUGUUUGCGCUUGUGUGUGUGUGCUUGUGUGUGUGUGCCUGCGUAAGUUUGUGAGUGUAUGCGUGUGCGUAUGUGCGUAUGUACCUAGAAGCCAAGCCUCCAGUGAUUCACAUCACAGAACAGUAAGCAAGGCUAUGUUUAAUAAUGCAGGCAGCAAAAUACUCACUACUGAGCAGACACAAUGAUCCUCUCAAGACAUGUGUUGUACCAUACUGUGCUGUACUAUACUGUACUACUGAGCUACUGGACUAUACUACUGUGAUUUGUACUGUACUGCUGUACUACUGUAUUGCACUACUGUACUACUGUACUAACGUACUGUACUACUGUACUACUGUACUGUACUGCUGUACUACUGUACUGUACCACUGUCUUACUGUACUGUACCACUGUCUUACUGUACUCAUGUACUGUACUACUGUACUAUUGUACUGUACUAAUUUACUGAUGUACUACUUUACUACUGUACUGUACUGUACUCUCCUGCUCCUAUCAGACAUAGGGGAUAUAGCAACGCAUCCAACAGGAUUAUAUGACACAAUGAUCCUCUCAAGACAUACUGUGCUGUACCAUACUGUGCUGUCCUAUACUGUACUACUGUGCUACUGUACUGCUAUACUACUGUGAUUUGUAUUGUACUGCUGUACUUCUGUACUUCUCUACUGUACUACUGUACUACUGUACUGUACCACUGUCCUACUGUACUCAUGUACUGUACUACUGUACUAUUGUACUGUACUACUGUACUAGUGUACUAUUGUACUGUACUACUGUACUGCUGUACUGCUGUACUGUACUAACGUACUGAUGUACUACUUUACUACUUUACUGUAUCACUGUACUGUACUGUACUCUCCUGCUCCUAUAAGACAUAGGGGAUAUAGCAACGCAUCCAACAGGAUUAUAUGACCGAACAGCAGGCAUUGUGACAGUGAAUGAAAGAAUGUGUGUGCAUCCUUGGGUGCUUACUCAUGCAUUAACACAAAUUGCAUUUUAUUUUCAUUUCACCAGGCAAUUGAUUGAAAACACACUCAUUUACUGUACAGCAAUUACCUUUUUCUUGCAUUUUGUUGCAAGAAGGCAAAGCUCAAGUUGAUGUUUUCCCUACAACUAACUGAUUUCUCCUGUUUGUUCC